GAGUUUGAUCUUGGCUCAGAUUGAACGCUGGCGGCAUGCCUUACACAUGCAAGUCGAACGGCAGCACGGGAGCUUGCUCCUGGUGGCGAGUGGCGAACGGGUGAGUAAUGCAUCGGAACGUAUCCUGGAGUGGGGGAUAACGUAGCGAAAGUUACGCUAAUACCGCAUAUUCUGUGAGCAGGAAAGCGGGGGACCUUCGGGCCUCGCGCUCUUGGAGCGGCCGAUGUCGGAUUAGCUAGUUGGUGAGGUAAAGGCUCACCAAGGCGACGAUCCGUAGCAGGUCUGAGAGGAUGAUCUGCCACACUGGAACUGAGACACGGUCCAGACUCCUACGGGAGGCAGCAGUGGGGAAUUUUGGACAAUGGGGGCAACCCUGAUCCAGCCAUGCCGCGUGAGUGAAGAAGGCCUUCGGUUGUAAG
rnacentral:rRNA from 1 species